GUUCAUGCACCAGAGAGCUGUGCGUCGUGCUGGGAGACCUUUGAUCCGCUAUGGUCCAUUGUUUCCCCGAGAACAGGAGAGAUCCAAAAUCUGAACUACAUCUACAACUGCAAUGACGUCGAGGCUCUGUGGAUGCUUAGAAUGAAAAGAGCACCAUUUGCCAGGCUUGUCGAGACCUUCAGGAGCAGGGGGAUGUUACAAGAUAGCAUCAACACCAGUGUCGAAGAGCAAGUGGCCAUGUUCCUCCAUGUUGUUGGCCAUAACCAGAGGUUCAGGGUCAUUUACAACACGUUCAGGAGAUCAAUGGAGACCAUCUCUAGGUACUUCAAGCAAGUGCUUUAUACUGUUGGGGAGCUUAGAGGAGAGAUGGUCAGGAGACCAUCUGGCCAGACUCCACCCAAGAUUCGCGGAAGCCCAAGAUGGUAUCCAUACUUCAAGUUGAGCACUAACACAGGC
rnacentral:rRNA from 1 species